rnacentral:pre_miRNA from 1 species
AACUUUUUGAAUCUGUGAAGAGAUUUCGUCAGACACUAAUUCAUUAAGGCUGAUCAGACUUCCGAGAUAAGUGAAGGU